UAUUAAUCGCCACCGGGCGAGAAAGCAUUUAUAAAGUUCAUUAGGUCAAUGAAGAACUUUAUAGGUGCUUUUAUUUUUU
rnacentral:ncRNA from 1 species